rnacentral:rRNA from 1 species
UGAGCAACCUGCCCUUGGCUUCGGGAUAACCAUCGGAAACGGUGGCUAAUACCGGAUACGACACAGUCUCGCAUGGGAUCUGUGUGGAAAGUUUUUCGGCCAGGGAUGGGCUCGCGGCCUAUCAGCUUGUUGGUGGGGUGAUGGCCUACCAAGGCGACGACGGGUAGCCGGCCUGAGAGGGUGAUCGGCCACAUUGGAACUGAGACACGGUCCAGACUCCGUACGGGAGCAG